AUAGCUCAGUAACACGUGGCCAAACUGCCCUAUAGACGGCGAUAACCUCGGGAAACUGAGGCUAAUAGCCGAUACCGUUCAACACCUGGAGUGGUGUGAACGCGAAACGUUCAGGCGCUAUAGGAUGUGGCUGCGGCCGAUUAGGUAGACGGUGGGGUAACGGCCCACCGUGCCCAUAAUCGGUACGGGUUGUGAGAGCAAGAGCCCGGAGACGGUAUCUGAGACAAGAUACCGGGCCCUACGGGGCGCAGCAGGCGCGAAACCUUUACACUGCACGCGAGUGCGAUAAGGGGACUCCGAGUGCGAGGGCAUAUAGUCCUCGCUUUUCACCACCGUAAGGUGGUGGUGGAAUAAGUGCUGGGCAAGACCGGUGCCAGCCGCCGCGGUAAUACCGGCAGCACGAGUGAUGACCGCUAUUAUUGGGCCUAAAGCGUCCGUAGCUGGCCAGGCAAGUCUAUCGGGAAAUCUGCGCGCUUAACGCGCAGGCGUCCGGUGGAAACUGCAUGGCUUGGGACCGGAAGACCAGAGGGGUACGUCCGGGGUAGGAGUGAAAUCCCGUAAUCCUGGACGGACCACCGGUGGCGAAAGCGCCUCUGGAAGACGGAUCCGACGGUGAGGGACGAAAGCUCGGGUCACGAACCGGAUUAGAUACCCGGGUAGUCCGAGCUGUAAACGAUGUCUGGCUAGGUGUGGCACAGGCUA
rnacentral:rRNA from 1 species